CCUACGGGUGGCUGCAGCUAAGAAUCUUCCGCAAUGGGGGAAACCCUGACGGAGCGACGCCGCGUGGACGAUGAAGGCCGUAAGGUUGUAAAGUCCUUUUGUUGGUGAAGAAUGAUGCGUGGAGUGGAAAGCCACGCAGAUGACGUUAGCCGACGAAUAAGCCCCGGCCAAUUACGUGCCAGCAGCCGCGGUAAUACGUAUGGGGCAAGCGUUGUUCGGGGGUGUUGGGCGGGCUGGGCGUGUCGGCGGCGAAAAUGCAGGGCCCAACCCUGCAAAUGCGCUGGAAACUGGUGGGCUAGAGUUCCUGAGGGGAAGCUGGAAUUCCAGGUGUAGGGGUGAAAUCUGUAGAUAUCUGGAAGAACACCGGUGGCGAAGGCGAGCUUCUAUCAGAGGACUGACGCUGAGGCGCGAAAGCGUGGGGAGCAAACAGGAUUAGAUACCCGAGUAGUC
rnacentral:rRNA from 1 species